GAUGAACGCUGGCGGCGUGCUUAACACAUGCAAGUCGAACGAUGAAGCCCAGCUUGCUGGGUGGAUUAGUGGCGAACGGGUGAGUAACACGUGAGUAACCUGCCCUUAACUCUGGGAUAAGCCUGGGAAACUCGGUCUAAUACCGGAUAGGAGCGUCCACCGCAUGGUGGGUGUUGGAAAGAUUUAUCGGUUUUGGAUGGACUCGCGGCCUAUCAGCUUGUUGGUGAGGUAAUGGCUCACCAAGGCGACGACGGGUAGCCGGCCUGAGAGGGUGACCGGCCACACUGGGACUGAGACACGGCCCAGACUCCUACGGGAGGCAGCAGUGGGGAAUAUUGCACAAUGGGCGCAAGCCUGAUGCAGCGACGCCGCGUGAGGGAUGACGGCCUUCGGGUUGUAAACCUCUUUCAGUAGGGAAGAAGCGAAAGGGACGGUACCUGCAGAAGAAGCACCGGCUAACUACGU
rnacentral:rRNA from 1 species